GUCCUUCCCAGGCUCGUCCUCGGGUCCUUCCAGCCUCGUCCUCCGGGUCCUUCCAGCUCAUCCUCCGGGUCCCUCACAGCUCGUCCUCCGGGUCCUUCCAAGCUCGUCCUCCGGGUCCUUCCAGCUCGUCCUCCGGGUCCCUCACAGCUCGUCCUCCGGGUCCUUCCCGCUCGUCCUCCGGGUCCUUCCAGCUCGUCCUCCGGGUCCCUCACAGCUCGUCCUCCGGGUCCUUCCAGCUGAAGAAGUGGCAGCGUCUUCUUUCUUUUGCUCAGACCACAAACCUAGGGAGCGUCCCUGGGUCCUCCCUUUGCCUCACACCCCGCAUCCAAUCUGCCCACACAGCCAUGGGUUC
rnacentral:lncRNA from 1 species